rnacentral:sRNA from 1 species
AAAACUAAAAAAAAAAUUAAGGUUACCUAAAGUUAUCAAAUUCAUAUAUAUAACCAUGUUUUAUUUUUAUAAAGGUAUCUUCAAUAGUGAUCUCUAUAUUUUCCUUUAUUUAUAGAUAUGACUCUAUUUUAGAGGCUGCUCCAAUGGUCACAUGUAAAAUAGAAUUUUCUUUAAAAUAGAGGAGAUAUCAUCUCUAUAAAUAAAGAUCUCUACAUUUAGUCUCUAUUUUUUUCCUAUUUUUGAGGAAACUCUAUUUUAAAAGUGACCAUUGGAGCAUCGUGCCUAUAAAAUAGGGUCACUAAAUUUUUGUAAUUAGUUUAAGCUUUAAUGUCGUUGACACAAUAUUAUAUACAAGUGGUAAGUGGACAUGUGUAAGAGAUAUUU